AUGAAGUCCGUAGAUCUCCAGGCUGGAGCCGCAGAGCGAGGUGGCGAGGUGGAGAACGCGGGGCUGGGCCUGGACAGCGGCCCUGGGGUCGUCUGGAGUCCUCGCUCCCUCAACCCGGAAGGCAGCGGACUGACAUCUGCGCCGAAGUCGCGCGUACCCCACGGAGGGUCGGGACCCUGGAAAUUUCGAACGCCCCAGCAGUUCAGGGCAGUCAUCGCUUUUCCCAAGCCGGGGAGUCCGGGGCCCCGCCAGGUUUCUCCGCGCUGUGACCUCGGGCGCGCAGAGCGGAGAGCGCCAAGCUCUCUGCUGGGUGUCGGAGGACGCGCCGAAAACAGGGACGUCUCUGCAGUGCGUCCGACACCAGCUCUCCAGUCCUGCUGCCGCCCGGGGUUGCUGCAGCCCGGGUUAUCCCGGCCCCCCAAGCUGCCCGGCUUUCGGCCUCCCCUGCUCCCCGCGCUGUGGGGUGGCGGAGGAUGGACCCAGGCUGACGCUGGGCUGGGUACCUGGAAAGAGGGCCCGCCUCCCGGACUCCGAGUCGGGCACCUGUGCGAAAGAGGCGAAAAUUCAGGCCUGGUGCUCAAGGCUCAGAGAUGAGGAGACCUCCCCAUCCCCCCAGAUUCCUGCCGGCGGUGUUGGCGCUGACCUCC
rnacentral:lncRNA from 1 species